ensembl:lncRNA
GGCUCAUAUUAAAUCAUUUGGCAAAACAUCAUGAGUAAGGAUGAUGCUCUUUUUCCUGAAACGACUCUCCAAGACAGGAAAAGGAUUAUGUAGAUGAUGGAGAAGUAAGAGAGCCAGAAGAAGAGUAGGACAUUGGUAGGACUCAAAGAGACGGGGGUCCUGGAUACAUUUUCCUGAGCUAGUCCAGAGAGGAAGCAAAACCCCAGAAAUGAGUAAGCAACCCACCGAAAUGCCCGGAAGCACUAAAUGAAAUUCCAGAGAGUGAUUGAAAGUGUUGAUCCAGAAGGCGGUCAGACAGUGUUGGGGAACUCUGCUGUCGGUUUAAUUGAUUUCCAAGACAAGAAUACUGGAGUGGGUUGCCAUGCCCUCCUCCAGAUGAUCUUCCUGACCCAGGGAUCGAACCCACAUCUCCUGCGUCUCCUGCAUAGCAGGCAGAUUCUUUACCCUCUGAGCCACACAAAUCAAAACUACAGUGUGGUAUCACUUCACACAAGUCAGAAAGUGUUCAGCACACAGCACUGCGCUGUGCUAUGUCUCUUCAGUCAUGUCCGACUCUUUGUGACCCCAUGGACUAUAGCCAGCCAGGCUCCUCUGGCCAUGGAAUUCUCCAAGACAAGAAUACUGGAGUGGGUUGUCAUUUCCUAAUCCAGGGGAUGUUACCAACAAAAGAAUCAAACCUGGGUUUCUUACGUCUCCUGCAUUGGUAGGUGGGUCCUUUACCACUAGCACCACCUGGGAAGUCCCACCAGUCAGAAUGGCCAUCAUCAAAAAAAAAAAAAAAAAUCUACAAACAGUAAAUGCUGGAGAGGAUGUGGAAAAAGGGAACCCUCUUGCACUGUUGGUGGGAAUGUAAAUUGAUAUAUCACUAUGGAGAACAAUGUAGAGAUUCCUUUAAAAAUUAGGAAUAAAAUGACCAUAUGACCUGGCAAUCCCACUACUGGGCAAAUGCCCUGACAAAACCAUAAUUCAAAAAGACACAUGUACCCCAAAGUUCACUGCAGCACUGGUUACAAUAUCCAGGUCAUGGAAGCAACCUAGAUGUCCAUUAACAGAUGAAUGGAUAGAGAAGUUGUGGUAUACAUA